rnacentral:misc_RNA from 1 species
UUUGAUGAUGAUGAUAAGAGAAAUUUUAAAUAAGACCGUGAAUGUGGAUAUUCAUUAUUAGAUUAGUAAACUCCACGGACACAAGCAUCUUAAUCAAACCAACAUUUUUGGAAUCUUCUCCUCAACCCAGCUGAAGA